GAUGAACGCUGGCGGCGUCCUUAACACAUGCAAGUCGAACGAAGCACCUCUCCCGAAGAUUGCCACAGCUUGCUGUAGAUUGAUUCAUUUGAGGUGACUGAGUGGCGGACGGGUGAGUAACGCGUGGGUAACCUGCCUCAUAGAGGGGGACAACAGUUGGAAACGACUGCUAAUACCGCAUAGUAAGAAGAAUUCGCAUGUUUUCUUCUUGAAAGAUUUAUCGCUGUGAGAUGGACCCGCGUCUGAUUAGCUAGUUGGUAAGGUAACGGCUUACCAAGGCGACGAUCAGUAGCCGGCUUGAGAGAGUGAACGGCCACAUUGGGACUGAGACACGGCCCAAACUCCUACGGGAGGCAGCAGUGGGGAAUAUUGCACAAUGGGGGAAACCCUGAUGCAGCGACGCCGCGUGAGUGAAGAAGUAUUUCGGUAUGUAAAGCUCUAUCAGCAGGGAAGAUAAUGACGGUACCUGACUAAGAAGCCCCGGCUAACUACGUG
rnacentral:rRNA from 1 species